GAGUGCUAGGUUUGGGGGCACUACCUUAAGUUGUGAAUUUCCGAUUAACAAAGAUUGUGAUUCAGCUGGCUAAAAUAUUUCUCUUAUUUCAGUCUAAUACACGUAACCUUGGUUUGGUGUCUAGAGAACCUUGUAAUCUCAUCUUUAGGCAUAUUUUGUAAAGAAAACUUUUUUGUUUGCCUUCUCAAUUUGGUCUGAUGGAUGAUCAGGCUGCCAGGCAUUCCAGCCCUUCUCCAUUUAAUAGGCCAAGGGUUAAAGCAUAGAGAAGAGGAUGAUAUGGAGAACUGUUCGUAUGUCAUCUGGAAAAAGAGGGGAGAUGAAAGAAUAUGAUGCAUAGCAGCGGAGAUGUGCAAGUUUCAUGGGCCAAAUAAUGUUCUGUCGACCAGAAAUGCAGAGCUCUAGCCGAAAUGCGGAGUGCUUUGUCGGUUAAUCUGCUAGUGUAUGGCUUCUGAGGAGGUGAAGAUGCUGCAUCAGAGAUGCUUGCUGACAAGGUGCACACAAAAGUCUUUUUUGCAAGUACUGAUACUAGGAUCUGUGUGGAAUGCAUGAACUUAGUAGUCACGUAGAUUUGAUUGUCAUUUAAAAACAUCCAUUUGUAGCCUGUAAAAUAGAUUUGUGCUUUGUAGCCUGUAAAAUAGAUUUGUGCUUUGAACGGCCAUUUGCUUCUUUUGUAUUGCACAUCAACAUCAUACAGAGAAGGCUGAGAGGUGAUUGUAUGGACUCUUUUGUUUAAUCUCGAUGUAUGAGCUCAUAUGGUUGAA